rnacentral:rRNA from 1 species
CACGCCGUAAACGAUGGACACUUGUUGUUGGAGGUAUUGACCCCUUCAGUGACGAAGCUAACGCGUUAAGUGUCCCGCCUGGGGAGUACGGCCGCAAGGUUAAAACUCAAAGAAAUUGACGGGGGCCCGCACAAGCGGUGGAGCAUGUGGUUUAAUUCGAUGCAACGCGCAGAACCUUACCUAGAUUUGACAUAAAAUGGAAGACUGGCAGAAAUGUCGUCGCCCGCAAGGGCCGUUUUACAGGUGC